CUUUACAAUCUAUAAUAUCCAAUGCUAAAAAUGAAUACUCAAUAUGGACUGAUAACCCUUAAUCAUGUGGAGUACGGUGUGAAGUUACGUACGAAUAUUUAAUACUAGUAUUUAUAUUGAACAAAGUGUUUUAAAUUCUCAUGAAACUUCAAAUUGAAAACAAGUUUAACCUGUUUUCUUUACAUGAUAAGCUACGUUAUACUACAAACCACGCGUACAUUUACUUUUAUUUUUAAAUAAAAAAAUCAAUUAUUGACUCAUAUUCAACAAACAAGUUUGAAAAGGAAGCAUGUUGAACAUAUGCCUUGAACUAUUAAUUUUUACUAUUAAUACUAUCAAUCGGAAUUUUCAUUUACUAUGUUUAGCCAUAAAUUCCAUAAACAAUAUUUAAACUAGGACUUUUUAGAGCUAUUUUUAAACGUAAAUUUCUGAUCACUCACAUUACUAUACUACGUAGUAUUCCAGUGACCUACACAAUAUCAAUGGCAUUAUUAAGUGUUAACGAGUAUACGUAGAUAAUUCGUAUUUAAACAAACACAGAACAGAAACCCA
rnacentral:lncRNA from 1 species